AGGUGCAAUCAUACCAGCGUUAAUGCAUCGGAUCCCAUCAAAACUAUGCAGUUAAGCGCGCUUGGGCUAGAGUAGUACUGGGAUGGGUGACCUCCCGGGAAAUCCCAGUGUUGCACCCU
rfam:Picea glauca, whole genome shotgun sequence.